CCAGGAGGUGCGGGGACGAGGUGGAGGCCGCGGAGAAGCGCCGGGGGCGUGAGGAAGAGGGAAUAAACCCAAAGUUUCUGUGACUUGGCCAAGGUCACGGAGGAGACUCCCGGGCUUUCUACCGCUAAGCACAACUUUCUGUAAUACCGUCUGCUCUCCUGAGGCUGGCUACGCUCCGAGUAUCGUCGUAAGAAAUGGGUUUGACCCUCCCAUCCUCACCCCAUGUUUUCACAAGAGAACCUAAUGGCCCUUGAAAAGGAACAGAAUAUUCAGUGGGACUCCACCUGAAUUUGAGGAGUGAUUAAUAUAACCAUUGAUGGAUAUGGUGCCUGUUGGAACUGUGUGCCUCUACAUUUUGAAGAAGAGGAUCCCAUUUAGGACAUGACAUUACAUUUCAUCGUUAAGUCUCCUUAAGUUCCUCCUGAUUAUGAUGACUUCUCAGACUUUCCUUGUUUUUGAUGACCUUGACAGUUUCGAGGAGUACUGGUAGUGCCAAUCGUUUUCCCGAGAAUGUGUACCAAUGUGACUCCCACCUCAAGACAGCCAUGUAGGAGGAUGUCCAUUUCUCUAUGUUGGUGACAAGUUAUGAGAAGAAGCCCAUCUUCCAAACUUAAUAACAAUGAAAAAGGAUGAAGAAGGCGAGCGGAAAGUUCCACACUUCAUCCACAUUCUGCAAACAAGGAAACGAGGUUCUCUGGGGUCGCUGAGGUUCAGGGACUUACCCAAGUCCCACUUGUCCAACUGCACUGCUGGUUUUCAAACUGUGUUCCCUAGAAGCACCAUAGGGGUCCCUGGGUGGGGAGUGGGGGGAAGGGCAGAGGACCAGAUGCACAUGGGGUCACAGUGGGCAGGUGGGCUCCAGGGGAUUCUGUAAAAGAUUUCAUUUGGAAAAGGGAUUCUGAUGCUUAAAAAUAAAUUUGAAAACCACUAUCUUUACCAUAGUGCCUCUUUAAAGAAGUUUAAAUUUUU